CUCUAUUUAUAGAGAGGAACUAGCCCACAAAUUUACCCAAAACCAAGAGCUCCAUGUUGAUUGUUUAAUGAGCCAUUAGUUUAUAAUCCAUGGAUUUGUUCAUUGGUUUUGGGCUAAUGGUUUUGAGCAAUUAGUUUAGGGCCAAAGGAUUGGAGGAGAUGGUUUUAACCAAUUGGUUUUGGGCCAACAGAUCUCGCUUAGGGAUUGCAUAUGGCACCACUUCCAUCCAUCCAUCCAUCCAUGGCGUCUCUGUUAGGAUCCUUCUGGCAGGUUGUUGAGGAUCAAAUGUUUGUGUUCUCUGUGGUUUACUGGAUGAUCAAAUCCAUCAUGAAGCUCUUUAGUGACAUCAGCAAUAUUACUAAAACUAUCUCUGCAGCAAAGUUACAACCACAUUUAAUUUGGACACUCAAACAGGUGAGUGAAAUUUUUUUAUCACAUUUAAUUGUUUAACAAUUUUAUUCUGUGAAAAAAACAGAUGCCUGGCCUUAUUUAUUUUUCAUGUCUAGAGCCAUUUGUUGCAGUGAAACGAUUUUCUUGAUAAAAUCCGACUUGUGGAUAAAUGACCUUCAUGGCAAUCUCAUAACUAUGAUUGAUAGUCCUAAAACUGCAUAUCCACUUGGAUAUUGGAAAUGUAAUUUGUUUUAUCCCUUUUGGUGCUAUGUGGAUGCUCGUACUUGACAUUUAUUAUGUAGACUCGAGGAAUAAUUAGUGGAAUAUCAGUAUGAAUGAUGCAAAAGUGAGGCUGGUGGUGGUUAGAUAUAGAGUUCCUUCUUUUAUAAAUACAAGAUCAUUGAUUAAGCAGGAAUCUUGACUGUGAACCUGAGGGGUGUAUUCAAAACAUUGUCUGGUGAUUGCUGCAUGCUGUUCUCUCUUUCUCUGCUUUAACAAAGUCAAUAAUCUAUAAUUUAACAUUAGGUAUUCCCUGUUUAUGAUGUUAAAAUGGCACAUGAUGACAUGAUAUAAACUUGAGAUCAUACCAGAUUAUGAAUAUACCUAACAUCAAUAAGCAUAUGCAGUAAGCCUAAAAUAAUUUUGGAUAUAUACUCAUAGAUUACUUAAAUCAAGCAUUAGGAAAGAAAAUAACAAAACAUUCACCAAGCUCAGUCAUAGAUGAGCAUGCAAGCUAGAUGAUCCUUUGCAAACUUGACCAUCUAAAUUAUAUUGAUUUAAACUGGCCCAAACAUUCACCAUUCAUCAAAUGACUCUAGUACUUUAUAAUUUUCACACCAUUUAUUUCCACACCCACCAAAUCAAAAUUUGUUCCAGUAUCAGAAUCCAAGCUUAACACGCAUAGUCAUGUAUUUGCAACCCUUGCUUAAUGGUGGAGUAAUUCACAGCCAUCCAAUCAAUCACAACAGAAAUUUUAUUUGGAAAUCAAAUCAAGUUUUCGUUUUCGUUUUCAUUAAUCCUUGUCAACCAAAAAAUAUGAACCAGGAAAUGGCACCCAAUUGAAAAAAAGAUUGCCCAUUAGUCCUGCCAAUUUAGCGGAAGCUUCAAAAGACAUUUGAAGUGCAUGAUUGGCAAGUGUAAAUGUGUACUAGAGUUAUUUUAGUAAUUCAUAAGGAAAACUAUCAAACUUUGCCUUUUAAAAAAGUUUCUUUUGCACAAUCGACAAUUAAAAGGCAUAUUCAUGACAAUUUUAAGGCUUUAUGGUUUUUAAAAACAAUUGUAACAACUGAGAUUUAGCUUAAAGCCAAAACUAACCAAAACUUAUAAUCAGGGAAAGAAUUCACAACAACCACUAGAUAUGAACCUUCUAAUAUUAUUCUGCAUAUUACCCCAAGUUCAUGUUUAACCUGUGAACCUUUUGAUAGCAGUCGAAGACUAAGAUGUGCAGGAUAUCCUAUCUUUAUUUCAAAUGAUAGUCAAAUUUUAGUUAAAAAAAUGUCAAUCAUAUAAUUCACAUUAAGUUUCAAUCCUAGCCACUAGAUAUGUAACAUGAGUGGUCAUCAUAAGAAUAUGUUAAAUUACAAAUCAUAGCUAAUGGCGGAAGGUCAGUCUGAGGAAAUGAGACCAGUUUUUCCAUCAGCAUAGCAAUAAGUGGCAUCAAAAUUUGUAGGUAGACCACAUCGUCCUUCAUAUUUGUAUAAAUCAAAUAAAAGAUGUUACCUAGGCUAUUGUGCUGUCAAAGCCUAGGUAAUUCAGAAAUUAUUUUUCUAAGAUUAUGAUGUUAAAAUGGCACAUGAUCACCUGUCCUUCAGAGUUCAAGAGUUAACUCUUUUUGAAGGAUAUGCAAUGAUUAUCUGAUCUAGCUUCUUAAUUUCUUCAGCAAAUUAAUUUCAAAUUGCUUCUUAGAUCAUGACCAACAACCACAGAUAACAUUAUGUAUUCCUUGUGUUUCCAGCAAUUAAUUUCAAAUUGCUAUUAAAUAUGUUCCUUUUCAGUAGAGACUGUUAAAUCUGAGCCACUUCCCAGAAAAUCUGGAGUUGUGGAGUCCUUCAUCUUCCCUUUUAAUCCGAGAAUGAGUCCUUGAUUUUCAUCCUUCAACAUUGUUUUUCUUUAUGCCAAGAAAUUUCUCUAGUUCAUUAUGUUUAAACUUAAUUUAUUAAUGUUGCUGUUUAUUUAAACUCUUAUUUUAUGUUUGAGGAUCAUGACUAGGAUAGAGCAAACUUCAUUAUCACAAUAGGAACAGUGUUUGCAAGCCAAAUGCACAUGGACCUUAACCAUAUAUUAAUCCUCUUCAGUUAAUGUACAAUGAAUUUGAGUAGUUGUCUGACUUUCAAUUGGAUUUAUUUAGACUGUUAAUUGAUGGAUAGUCUGGAGGGUUAGAAAUAUGCCUUCUCUGCAAGGGGAGUGUUGUCGGUGAGCUUAAUUUUUAUCCACAGAACCAGCUGCAAAUUAGUAUUGAUUAUGUAUUCAGACAAAUUAACACAGGGUGUAUCGUUUCUGUAUGUCUUCAAUACUGAAUACAAAUUCAAGUUUAUUUAUUUAUUUAUUUAUUUUUGAUGGAUUUUUCCAUCAUUAUAGACAACAAUCAUUUUAAGUUCGUUUUGAAUAACAACUGAACUAAAGUACAGAACACACAGCUUAGGUUCGUUUUGAAUAACAACUGAACAAAAGUACAGAACACACAGCUUAGGAUAAUAUGAUGCUUGAGACAUAAUAUGGACAUCUAUGUCAGUGCUUUGUACUGUGUUUUGCAAUUGUCUCUAUGAAGAGAUGGUAAGACAUGUAUGAUAAGACAUACAUGUCUGAUAUGCAUGAUAUAAGUCUAUAAUGAAGACUUGUAUCAUGCACAUUUACUUUGUUGAACUGGUUAUUGGUUUGAUCCAGCAAUGCUUCUUGUACAUGGCACUGGCAGAACUAAAACUUUUGAUAUUCAAUGAAGAUUUUCAAACAAGGCCUCGGUGGUACCCAACAUCCAAUAUAAAUUACCUUUUGGGUCAGUCUAGUUGCUUUGCAUUUGCUGAAACUUUUUACAGAUUGUCCCUAGAUUUUCUUUUCGGCUCCUUAUUUGUGUUGAUACGAGCUGAUGUUUCUUUGUUAAGAAAAUAUUGACUUUAAAUAAUUCUCAUUCUUGUUUUAUAUCGUCAUUAAGCUAAUUUGACUGAAUUACUUGUAGUGGACUUCACUGUCAUACUUAUUCUCAGAGACAUUUGAAGAAGGCACAGGCCAUCAAAGAGAACAAAAGGGAAAUGGGCCGCAAUCAAGUUGUAUUAUUUAUUCAUUUUGAUUCUAGGCGAAAUACUGCUUCUGUGACUCCAUCAUCUUCCCAUCUAUCUAUUGGGAAAGUACCUAUAAAUCCCCGGUAGACUACAAGCUAGGGUCCCAUUCUUCAGCUGCUCAGAAUCUCGAGGUAUUUGGGUAAACUUUGAGACAGCUCCUCAUACUUCUCAUGUUGCUGCCAGGACUGAGGAGUUUGCUUCCCAUGCCCCCUCACAAUUAAGAGGAUGUGGAACAACCUCAUCUUGUCGAUAAAAUUGCAACAAAAUGAAUGUGAUGUUUUGGAUUAUGAUAUUAGAUACUUUUAUAACUUUCUAUUGUUAUAUUAGAUGUUUAGACUAUUAUAUUUUGUUUUUGAUAGUCCUAUUAGAUGUUUGGACUAUUACAUUUUGUAUUGGUUUGUUGUAUUAGACAUUUGGAGUAUUGUAUUUUGUA